rnacentral:rRNA from 1 species
UUUUUGGAUUCGGAGCGAGUGGCGAACUGGUGAGUAACACGUGGGUAACCUGCCCCGAAGCGGGGGAUAACAUUUGGAAACAAGUGCUAAUACCGCAUAAUUAGUUGGAACCGCAUGGUUCCAACUUGAAAGAAGGCUCUGCUAUCACUUUGGGAUGGACCCGCGCCGUAUUAGUUAGUUGGUGAGAUAAAAGCCCACCAAGACGAUGAUACGUAGCCGACCUGAGAGGGUAAUCGGCCACAUUGGGACUGAGACACGGCCCAGACUCCUACGGGAGGCAGCAGUAGGGAAUCUUCCACAAUGGACGAAAGUCUGAUGGAGCAACGCCGCGUGAGUGAUGAAGGUUUUCGGAUCGUAAAACUCUGUUGUUAAAGAAGAACAAGUGUUAGAGUAACUGUUAACACUUUGACGGUAUUUAACCAGAAAGCCACGGCUAACUACGUGCCAGCAGCCGCGGUAAUACGUAGGUGGCAAGCGUUGUCCGGAUUUAUUGGGCGUAAA